UUUACGGAGAGUUUGAUCCUGGCUCAGGAUGAACGCUGGCGGCGUGCUUAACACAUGCAAGUCGAACGAUGAACCCGAAGCUUGCUUUGGGGGAUUAGUGGCGAACGGGUGAGUAACACGUGAGCAACCUGCCCCUCACUCUGGGAUAAGCGCUGGAAACGGCGUCUAAUACUGGAUACGAGUCGCAACCGCAUGGUUAGUGACUGGAAAGAUUUUUUGGUGGGGGAUGGGCUCGCGGCCUAUCAGCUUGUUGGUGAGGUAAUGGCUCACCAAGGCGUCGACGGGUAGCCGGCCUGAGAGGGUGACCGGCCACACUGGGACUGAGACACGGCCCAGACUCCUACGGGAGGCAGCAGUGGGGAAUAUUGCACAAUGGGCGGAAGCCUGAUGCAGCAACGCCGCGUGAGGGAUGACGGCCUUCGGGUUGUAAACCUCUUUUAGCAGGGAAGAAGCGAAAGUGACGGUACCUGCAGAAAAAGCACCGGCUAACUACGUGCCAGCAGCCGCGGUAAUACGUAGGGUGCAAGCGUUAUCCGGAAUUAUUGGGCGUAAAGAGCUCGUAGGCGGUUUGUCGCGUCUGCUGUGAAAUCCCGAGGCUCAACCUCGGGCCUGCAGUGGGUACGGGCAGACUAGAGUGCGGUAGGGGAGAUUGGAAUUCCUGGUGUAGCGGUGGAAUGCGCAGAUAUCAGGAGGAACACCGAUGGCGAAGGCA
rnacentral:rRNA from 1 species